CAGGCUGCAGCGGGCGGGAACGGUCUUUUCGGCGUGGUGGAGGAGGAAGACGCCUGGGUUUGCGUUGGGAACCCGGUCUGGCGCGACCGAACGGUGGGGGCCGCGGGUAGAGCAGGCCGGGGCUCUUUGUCGACUGUCCUCACGGAGUCGGCACUGAGGUCGGGCGAGGCGCGGCGGUUGGGGCUUUGGGCCCUGCUCGGGGCCUUGGCAGGCCGCGCAGGCUCCCGGUCGCUGUCGGGAGGUACCGAGGAGAAUCCGGCCAGGAAGGUCCUCUAGGUGCCUUGUGCUCCCUGCCUACAUCUCUUAGCGCGCUUAGAGGCUCUUGUCGGUCAGCCCACGGCGUGUCUUCGCACCAGUGGCUUGACACUCAACACGUGGCCUCCAAACUUAAGAUUCACAAUUGGAAAGCGCCAUACAGAAAACUGGGUAAGGCAGAGAGGAAGUGAUGGCUCAGUCAGAAGAGAACUCUGUUGACUGCAUGACACCUGAUGGAGCUGACAACACUGGAAACCACAGUGAUGACUCAUCUGAAAGCUUAUUUAAAACACAGUACAUUCCUUUACCCACACAAAAGCAAAGAAAGCCUACUGCAAAAUGUGUCAUUUCACCUGCGAACAUUGAAACCGACUCUUCAAGUGACUCCUCUAUAGAACCAAGGCCUUUGACUUUAAAGGCCAUUUUUGAAAGAUUUAAGAAAAAGAAACGGAAAAAGAGGAAAUACAAGCCAAAGUCGAGACCAAGGGAAAGACCACCUGGAAUAAAGAACACUAGAAAGCCUAGGAGGUCACAAAUAGAUGUGAAACAAAUUAAAGACAAAGGAGCUGUGCUUCCAUUCUUAGAAUCUGAAAAUGGAAGAAAACCCUUACCUUGGAAGAAAAUUUUAACAUAUGAGCAAGCUGUUGCAAGAGGAUUUUUUCACCACAUUGAAAAACUCAAGUAUGAGCACCAUCUUAAGGAAUGCUUAGAACAAAUGCAUGCUGGGGAAGAUUUAGAAAAGGAAGACUUUGACAGCCGGAGACACAAGUACAUGGAUGAUGAUGGUCCUCUUUCUCCCAUUGACGAGCCAUUAACAGAAGACGAGGCAACAAGUCCUGAGUCUGAAUGCGAUAUCAAAUUGGUUCAAAACAGUUGCUUCAUAAUAAGCUCAGAAUUUCCAAAGAGAAAUUUAGAACAAAAGAAGACUAAGAAUCUGCAUUCUCUAAAAAAAACUAAGGGUAAACAUAACCGCACAAGACAGCACACGGAACAGCCUGGAAAGGAGAUGUACAUCUGACUUAUCAAAGAAGGUAAAGAACACUCAGAAACAGUGACUUAAUAGCAAGACAUGACUACAGGUGUUUCAUUUGGCAAGUACAUGAAGAAAGGACCCGAGCCAGCUUGCGAAAGAAGCCACAGAGGACUGGGAAAGCAAAUACUUAGGAAUUUCUUUUUAGAGCUUGGAUACUGGAACAUUAAAAACAAUUGUGAUAUUGAUCUAUUGAUCCUGGAAGAAAAAUGCUAAUAGGAAAUCUGCACGUCUUUCUGAUUUCAGGAACCCCAGCCCAGUGACUGAUUCCAAACAAAGUUUUUAAAACAGAAUCAUAUCUUUGUGAGUGUUUGCAUGAAUGUGUGUAUACAUCCUAGUAUAUAUAUCAGGGCUCUUGGAAAUGGAAUUUACAAGAUGGUUAUUAACCAGCCAUCUUGUGAGGUGAGGGAUGUAAGCUAAAUCACAACCUCUAAGAAUGCUCUUCUGUGAACAAACUUUUCAUACCCUCUCUCCCAAACACAGCUCCAGGAUGCUACAACCCCUGUGUGCUAGCUUCUGACUAGGUGUGUAGUUCUUUAGUCAAAAAGAGUGUCUUCCUCUAGGAUGCUUCAUACAUCCUGUGGUCACACUGUAAAGCUGGCUUUUGUGUCAGAUUUCUAUGGCUUUGGGCAGCACUUGUAUAUGUUUUUGUUCAACUGGUGGACAAAGGCAGGUUAGACAGGUGCAAAAAUAAAUCCUCUUUUGCAACCCAGAACUCAUUGUUCAAUAUGAGUUUUGAUACAUACAAGAAGGAAUAUAUAUUUAAUUCAGCAUCAAGGGAUUAUGGUAUUGAUGAGGUUAGUUCUUCACUAUCCUGGACUUUUGAGGCAUAGGUAUCUAACAUGAUGAAUGUUUCUUUUUUAAAGGCUUUAUGAAGUCAGAAUUGAAGAUACCCAUGAAGGGAUGUGUGUUUCAAUGUAGCCCUGGUAUGCCUUCACAAUGAUUAGUAUGAUGUUAGGUAAGUCUGGUGGCACUGUAUCGUGGGGAAGUAUUGUUACAGUUCAAAUGAUGAAUUGAAACUGUUCAGCUGCUGAAUGAUACAGACAUGAACUAAAACUUAAUUCUGAUAGAACUGACUACAGCUAUUAACUCUGGACAGUGAACUUAGUUUUCAUAAAUGGAAAUCCAAUCUUAAAAUCUUAUGUACUAUUCUAGGAAUGAGUAAGCAGAACUCUUCAAACACACUGGUAAGUGAAACUGAAUCUUGUUAGUUUUUAUUGUGUUCUCAGCAAAAACAAUUGCUUUAUGUAUAGACUAGAAAAAAUGUUUCUUUGUGCUUUCGUGUCAUGCUAAGUGUCUAGAAAUGAUGUUUGAGUUCUUUAAUGAUACACUCCUGUAUUCCACUCCUGUAAUCCUAGGAGUUGGGAGCAAGGAUCAAGUUAGAGGCCAGCCUGGGGAACAGGGAAACUUGCUAAGUAGGUAACUCACUAGAUGAAGAGCUAUCUGUCCCAGAGUACCACAGUUCAGAACCAUUGCAGCCAGGCAGUCUUGAUAGCCAAACCUGGGAUCUCUGGCUUCAGUGAGAAACACUCAACCAGCAAUAUGUAUUGCAGUUCACAUAAUGCAGAUACAUUAGGCCAGUUAAUGGUUUGAUUUGGGCAAUUUUCCAGUGGGAGUGGAAUGAAGGCUCUGAGAUGGAAUGCUGCAUAAACUGGACAGCUGAAAGGCCAUCCGGCCUCCUUAACAUGUGGAAUGUUUGUAUGAUUUAGAGGAGAUAAUGAUUAGGACCGUAUCAUUAGUUUCUUCAUUAGGAACACCAGGCUUAGGAAUUAGCACUGCAUGGUAUCUGCACUCAGUAGUCCUUUCCUGCUGAUGUGUUCAAAAGACAGUGCAACAGAAAUUCACUAUCUGGCAUCGUUGGUUUCUUGGCUCUGUGCAAGAUAACCUGGUAUUUCUAAUGAUACAGUUAUUUUACACUGGAUAUGGGUGCCCUGUGGAGGUCAGAGCAAGUUUGAUUGAAAUACGGGUUCUAAGCUUGGUGGCAUUAUCACCUGCUUGAUGAAACUACUCUUUUUAUUCCUAGGGUGUCAACAAAUGAGAGGCCUGGUUUAAAAUGGUAAGGCCCCAUUUUUGUUUGCUUCUAGAUGGUUUUAUUUGAUGCAUAGUGCAUGAGACUGAGCCUCAUUCUACUUAAGGAUGGGCACUGUCAGUCAGUGUCUAGAACUGGUGAAUGUGGCUAAAUUGAGACACAGGUCAUGCUUCCAUCACAGUAGAUGCAUUACAGUGGUGACAAUGAGGCCUGUGACAUUUGCCCACUAUAAUCUUGGGUUUGAAGACAUGUUAAUAGUUCAUUUCAUAGCAGCUGGAGAGAUGGCUCAGUGGUUAAGAGCACUGCCUGUCCUGAGCUCAGUUCCCAGCAACCACAUGGUGGCUUACAACCAUCUGUAAUGAGAUCUGGUGCCCUCUUCUGGCCUGUAGGCAUACAUACAGACGGAAUACUGAGAAUACUGUAUACAUUCAUAAUACUUUCUGUGUUCAAUGUUUUAGGUUCCUAAUGUAAAUUGGUUUGAAGAAGGCACCAGAAUUGUUACGGUAAGAUGCUAGCUUGAGAUUAUAGACUGAAAUUUGCUGCUCUGGUGGAAAGACACUACCAGUAAGAGAUGAUGUUGUGAUGAUAGACAAUGUUCAACUGCUCUGAAUGGGCUGAGUGAAAUAGUCUUUCUGAACAUCAUCUAUUGGUGGGUCUCUCCAGAUUCCAUAUAUGCAUAUAUAUACACAAAGGAUCUUUGAAUCUGGUGAAUGGUGUUGGAAUGUAGCUUACAUAUGUGAGCAAGACAAUCUGGCUUCAUAGCCAGAAGCCAAACAGUUCUCCUCCUCCGAAGGGCCAUGGUUUCAGACAAUAUUUAGUGCACGGAGCAAUUUGAGAUGAGAACUUUCAACACAGAUAAUUUUGGGCAGUGGAUUUUAGGAUACUAAAUGAGUAACCUCAAUCUUUAUUAUACAUUUUUUUCCCACAGGUGAAAAACUGAAUUAGUCAUGAGUGUUCUGGCUUAAAUUCAAGGAGAGAUGAGAACAAAAGGCAAGUAGUAGUAGUCAUUUAAUGUUCUUAGUAUGUAAUGGUCAUUACCAAGGCUUUGAGAAUUCAGUUUCUUCUUUGCUGUGGACAUGACCAUAAAAAAAAAUUCCCAAUAGGUUUUCUAUGUGCUGCUUGGCUAGCAGUUAACCUGUUGGGGACAUUUUAUUCCUGAUGAGUAAAUUGUGUUAGAAUGCUCAGGUGCUGACCUCUACCUUGUUCUUGUUAUACAGGGCUAAAGAGUACAAUCAGACAGAGUGAAAGGUGCGUAUGCAAGAAACACUUCAAAGAGGGUCAUUUCAAAGAGGGCUUGUUGGAUGGUGAAACCUAAAGCUCUUUACGCUGUGACCAAAGAUUGAUGUUCUU